rnacentral:rRNA from 1 species
UACGUAGGGGCUAGCGUUGUCCGGAUUUAUUGGGCGUAAAGAGCGUGUAGGCGGCCAGGUAGGUCUGCUGUGAAACUCGAGGCUCAACCUCGAGACGUCGGCGGAAACCAUCUGGCUAGAGUCCGGAAGAGGAGAGUGGAAUUCCGUGGUGUAGCGGUGAAAUGCGCAGAUAUCAGGAGGAACACCGGUGGCGAAGGCGGUUCUCUGGAACGGUACUGACGCUGAGACGCGAAAGCGUGGGGAGCGAACAGG